AUUUAUAUAGUAUAAAAAAUUAUUUUUAACUUCCAAUUAAAAGACCUAAUAAAAAUUAGUAUAAAUA
rnacentral:tRNA from 1 species